AGAUUAAAAAUGAAGUAUACACUUGAUGCUAUCUUUUUUCUUGUGCUAAUGAAUUUAAUUUAUGAGGCAUACGGAUGCAAAUGUGAUCUGAAAACAAAUAAACAGAAGUUUUGUGAGCCUACUUACGGUAAGCUUAUAAAUUAAUGCAAAUCAAGAUGAUGAAACAAUUUGAACUUGAUAAACAAAAUAAAACUGUAUUAUGUAGGUAGAACAUCUUUUUAUUUGAAGACGUUUGAUGUAAGUGUAAAGCUUUCGAGAUUUCCAUAUAUGGUUUCGUACUGUAAAUAACAGUAAACUUUGCACAACAUGUAUCUUUAAACGAGAGCCUGCCACUAUUCAAGUACGUUGUGUGGUUAAACAUAAACUCAUGACACCCAGACUAGGACCUCGAUCUUCCGUAAAAUGUAUUAAAACAUGAACAAUGCAGCCAGAAGGUCACUUACUUGAACCAAGGAACUUACAAGGCACAUAAUUUUGUAACUACGGGCAAUAUAUUGCUAGGUACUACAGUAAACUAGCUCAUGUAGUUACAGUUGUCGGUUGGAUACCAAACUAAUUAGAAACAUCACUCCUUGUAUGUUUGAUAAAGUCGCAUAGUAAAAACAGCUUGUUUGGCAUCUUUGUGAACACAUUUAUUUCAAACAUAUUCUAUUGUUCAAAAUGGCAAUGGAUCAGAUUCUAGUUUUACAACUUAGUAACGUUAUAAGAAAUAUACACAAUAUUAAUUAUCACAUCAACUUUUCCAUUCUUACAAAUGAUUUACACAUAAAGACAUAAAAAUAAAUAGUAACUUGUUUACAGAAAUCAAUCAAAACAAUUUGCUGCAUCUCUGAACAGGAAGAGGUGACACAACAGAUUUAACAUCUUCAAUAAAACAUUAUCACACAUUAGUUGUACCUUUACGUUCAAAUCUCUGAAUAAAUUAGAAUAUAUAGUCAUGUUGAUAAGAAAAAUAAAGUUGACAUACAUAUCCGAGCAUUUGAUUAAUUCUGCUAUCGCUUAUAUAUAUUUGCAUACGGUAUAUUCUUGUCGAUAUCCUUACUAACACUUACAUUCGAAUUCUGAAUUAAAGUUACUCGAGGAAAAGUCACGAGCAGGAAGUUCUUAAACAGACAUCAAAUUGAGUACACAGUGGACGUCAAUCAUAACUUUAAGGUAGUAUAUAAAUGAUAGUUAUAAGGUUAUUAGGAGGUAAUGAUUAUAAGUUCCUUGAGAGUGUAUUGAGGUGUAAUUAAAAGUUCCGAAACAGACAUCAAAUUGAGUACACAGUGGACGUCAAUUAUAACUUUAAGGUAGUAUAUAAAUGAUAGUUAUAAGGUUAUUAGGAGGUAAUGAUUAUAAGUUCCUUGAGAAUGUAUUCAGGUGAAAUUAAAAGAAUCAAGAAUUUAAAAUUGCUACUUCAAGUCGGAAGGUCAUUACUUAUGGAACAAAAUGAGUUAAAAAUAUUGAUAGGUCACGAAGCUCCUUUUGCAGGUAUAUGAUUUUUUUUAAUAUAACAGGAAAAGGCUGACUCGGACUUUUACCUUAUUUUUGCAUUGAUAUCAUUUGAGUCUCAAAUCAAAAGAAAAGAAAUCAAGAAUUUACACAAAUUUUGGCAAAUGACCUUUUAUGAGCUAUUUAGUUCUAUAUAAAAAGAUAAAUGGGUGUUUUCGGGCAAAAUAUUUUAUCUUUUUUGUAUGAAAAAAAAAAGAAAAUCUGAAACAAAUUCCAAAAACUUACCUAAGUAAAUCCUUAAAAGCAACAUUUUAUUUCUUGUUGUUAAGAUAUUGAUGUGCACCUGUUCUAAAUAACAUAAUAGUUACUUACAGGUUGUUUUUAUAACGGAACUGCAGUCAACUGUUUUACGAUUACAAUUGUAAGGCAGAACAAGCUGUUCAAAUCUGUAGAGUUUAUCUUCCAUUUUCAAUUGAAUAAAAACCUGUGUAAAGUCAAUGAUAUGACCCUUUAAGUUAUAAUUCGAAUAGUUUUAUUCUUAGUCUUUUAUAUUUUUCAGUGUUUCAAACUUCUUUCACUGAAUGAAAUCUAGACAAAACUGCCUAAAUAGACAUAUUUUUAGAUUUAAUGUAAAAAUAAUUGUAAAAAAGGAGGAUUUGCAGGUUAAACAUAUACGUCGUUAUUUGUGAUAUAGAUUAGAUGUUAAAAUAUACAUAUAACUAAUGUUUUGAAAUUUAAAAAAAAAGACGUAACCAUUUGGAACAGGCGAUGUAAUAAAUUAUUUUUUAGCAAUACCAGCUAUAAUGAAUAUCACAUUACGAAAGGCAAUCCAUUGCUACAAGUAUCAUGUGGAAUAUAAGUACUCAAUGUGGAAUAUAAGUACUCAAUGUGUAACUGCUGCUGUAAUUGUUGUUCACAAUGGUGAAUUUGAAUCGUCACUUUUGUUGAUGUAAUUCUUAGUCUUCAACCGACGCUCAUUUUUUAGCUCUAUAUGUAAGAAGAAUAUACAUAUGACCAUUGCAUUUCAUAGAUAACUAAGGUUCAAAGUCAUGUAGAUUUGACCUUAGAUGCAAUUUGUUUCACUUUUACCCAUAGAUCUCUCCACGUUUUGUAUUUUCACAUGCUUUUCGGGUAUACGCUUUCUUGGUGAGGGCAUUCGUAAAAAAGCGCUACGGAUGCAAAAUUAAUAUUUUAAUUAUACAUUAAGCACUGUCCUAAAUUCGUUGCUGGUACACUGCUAGUCAUAGGGGAGAAAUCAAAUCAAUAGUUGUUGCUUAAAUAAUGAUUUGAAUACUCUUAGUCAUUAAUAUGAACAGUAACAAUCUAUGGUAGAAGUCUAAUGUUAAGUUUUUAGUCAUAAUUCAUUAUUUCAUUAGUAUCUUAUUUACUUUUCCAAUGUAUUUUAAAAGAUCAAGCUCGAAGACAAAAUUAAAGUUCGUACUAAAAGAAAGUCAUCUGCAUGUGGAGUAGAUUUACAGGUUGGAGAGGAAUAUUUAAUUUCAGGUGAGUAUUGAGUUCAUUAAGGGCAUACGACACAGUUUUAAUCCAAUAUCAAAAUUUUGAGAAAAAUUUGUAAAUAUGCUUUUUUUUACCUGCUUAAAUCAAAUAUGUUAUAAAAAAUGUACCUUCAUGUGCUACUUUUUAAGUAAAAUGAGGUAGAAAUUUCACAUAUUUGCUCAAACUUCGGAUUUGUUGACGUAUUUUUUUCUUCCAACAGAAAUGCACAACUUUUUUGUUUUAAAAGAUAAACACAAGCUGUUAUAAUUUAUCUUAUAUUUAAGGUUUUUUUUAGUUAUUCUUUUUAUUGCAUUGCCAAAUGGCCAAUCUAAGGAUUCAUAUACUUUUUCUCCGCAUUCACAUUUUUUACCCGACGUUGUCGACGUCUUGUCAACGCCUGUUGUUGAAUGACGUCUGAGGAGUGAAAUACGAACGUUUAUUUCACAUGUGAAAAUAACUGGUUCUCAUUUCAAAGUAAUGCCCCUUCUUUUCGAUAUGCACAAAGUGUUUUGACAGCGUGUAUGUAUGAUUUUUUUUUCACAUAUUGUUAUCAAUAUAUAAUGAAGUUUUAUGCGACUAUCAUAAAAGUGUGAGAUUUAGCUACCCAGAAAAUAAGGUUUAAUUCACCAUUUUCUACAUACGAAAAUGUCUGUACCAAGUCAGGAAUAUGUCAGUUUUUAUCCACUCGUUUGAUGUGUUUGAACUUUUGAAUUUGCCUUUUGAUUUAAUAGAGACUUUCCGCGGAAUUCGGUGUUUUUGCUUUUUAACUUUUUGCAAACUUUAAUCUGUCUUAUAAAAGGGUAUUUGAUUAAUGGAUUUGAAAAAAAACACAUUUCAACAGUAAAGGUUACAAUUUUUAUAACUGCAAAGACAGACGAAUGAUACCAAAGGGGCAUUAUAACUCAUCAAUAGAAAAAACAUUGACUAUGACAUGACUCAAAAAGUAAAAGACAAACAGACAAACAAUCGUACACAUUUGUCUGCCUCUUGUUACCGUGUAAACUGUCUAGAGUGUUAAUAAAUUUCUAAGUUCUAAGUUCAAAACAUAGCAUAAAAAACUUAAAGUUGAGCAACAUUUAGCCCCACCAAAUACUUUGGUGGUCUCGGGUGCUACGGUUGGGUUAGAAGAUCCAGUUACACAUUCAUCACACGUCAUGGUGCUCAUACCAGUUCAAAGUAGGUGAUAAGCAAAACUCGUUCAGUUAAAUUUACGGGAUAUAGAAGGAAGGGAUGCUAAAUGAUAAAAAAAGAGGAAAACCUAUAGUUUAUAACGUCGUUAUAUAUUUAUAUUCCAGGACACGUAAGGAAAAGGUCACAAUAUGAAACUAAUUAUGAGACAAAUAGCUGCUUAUGGAAUGAUAAAUGGCAG
rnacentral:lncRNA from 1 species